AGGAGUUUGAUCCUGGCUCAGAGCGAACGUUAGCGGCGCGCCUAACACAUGCAAGUCGUGCGAGAAAGGGGCUUCGGCCCCCAGUAAAGCGGCGCACGGGUGCGUAACACGUAGGUAAUCUGCCCUUCGGCGGGGGAUAACGUUUCGAAAGGAACGCUAAUACCGCGUACGACCGCGACCACCCCGGUGGAUGCGGUGAAAGCUGGCCUCUCCAUGGAAGCUAGCACCGGAGGAUGAGCCUGCGGCCCAUCAGCUUGUUGGUAGGGUAACGGCCUACCAAGGCGUAGACGGGUAGCUGGUCUGAGAGGAUGAUCAGCCACACUGGCACUGAAACACGGGCCAGACUCCUACGGGAGGCAGCAGUGGGGAAUAUUGGUCAAUGGGCGAAAGCCUGAACCAGCGACGCCGCGUGAGUGAUGAAGGCCCUCGGGUUGUAAAGCUCUGUGGGGAGGGACGAAAAAAGCCUGGAGUAAUACGCCAGGUUCUUGACGGUACCUCUUUAGCAAGCACCGGCUAACUCUGUGCCAGCAGCCGCGGUAAGACAGAGGGUGCAAACGUUGCUCGGAAUUACUGGGCGUAAAGCGCGUGUAGGCGGAUCGGCAAGUCAGGUGUGAAAUCCCUGGGCCCAACCUAGGAACUGCAUCUGAAACUGCUGGUCUUGAGUGGUGGAGAGGGAAGUGGAAUUCCUGGUGUAGAGGU
rnacentral:rRNA from 1 species